GCGCGUUGAACAGGAAGUGCGCGGCGUGCGGCGCCACUGUCCCACUCCACGCGGCCCACGCUGCCCCCGGGUGGUCGCCGUGCACUCUCUGUCUCAAGAUUCAUCAAAGAUUGCGCAACAAACCUUGAUCUUUGGCAAAGGCGCUCUGGUCUCAGUAAAUGCUGAAGUCCUAAAACCACGAGAGGAAAUGGGUGCGUCGGAGCCUGAAACCAGGGCGAACACGCCACGUGCUCCCGGAUCUUCAGAGCCACUGGCUGCAGAUCUGGUACUGCGGGCUGCUCAGGGCCCUGGUGUUCCUCCCAGGCAGCAGGACCUUGGCUUCUGGUCUGAGUGAGGGGCGUGCUUCCUCUCCUGCUCAGAAUUGAAUACCGGCUGACCCCAGUGAUCACUCCAGCUCUUUGAAGCUAACAUCAGCCCACCUGCUCCCUGUAAACAGUAAUACACGGACAGUACCUAUAGCAUAAACGUGAUAGGGGUUCCUUUGACGAAGACAUGACACGGGUAAGGAGAUGGCCUUUACUCCUCUUCCUGCUCUCCCACCGUAGAGGAUGUGGUUACCACUUUAAGACCAUGAUUUAGUAAAGGACCUGUCUGUCCCAUGAGAAACCCAUUGCUGGGUCCAGCAAUCCCCUGGAUUUCCACGGUACCAGCCAAGUUCCUGCAAAUUAGGUAAAACCCUACAGCUGGGGGGAAGGGGGCGAUCCUUGGUUCAUCAGGUAAGUUUGUAUACAUCCUGCUACCACACUUUCAAAACAAGAAUGAAGUACACCUCCUCCCCAGAGCCCCCAACCAGUAUCCCUAAGCAGCUUCUGGAGAGUCCUCUGAAGGUUCUAACCCGGUGUCGGUGUCGUCACCCUCCUCCCCAGCCUGGCUCCUCACUAAAGGACUCCCAGGACCCCAAAAGACAUCAUUCUACUGAGGGUUCAGACUGCUUCUUAGAAGCAGAAGUGAGAGGUUUGGAGGGACGCAAUACCAACGUCCAAGGAGGCUACCCUCAGCCACUAAAAAAAGAAAAGAAAAAAUCACUCCAGGUUUGUCAAGUGUUCUCUCUCUGUAGGUUGGAAUGUUCAUCUCUUCAUGAUGGUGUGCCAGGAUGCAUAAAUGGUACCAUGUGAUGAGAAAGAAGUGGCUUUGAAAGAAGCAGCCAUCAGAAGAGACCAAGAAGACAGAGAACCCAUGUGAACGGCUGAUGUGCAGCUGCAAUCCCAGCACCCCCAUCGGCCAGUACACAGUGCACCAGCAGUAAUGAGAGAGACCCCGCUUCAAAAAAGCAAGGGAACCUGUGCCAGCCACCUCCACUCUGCACACCAGACUUCCCUUCAUCAUAAAGUCAGUUAGCCCCGGAGGAUCCCAACAGUGAAAUCCAGAAGACUCGAAUUAAGGUUCAGGAGGCUGACUGAGUCACACAGAGGAUCUAUAUCAUCCCAAUGUCACCAAUUUCUUGAUGCACCCAUGGAUUCUUUGGGAUAGUGGCUGUGUAUGUCAAGCUGGCCAGCCUCUGGUGUCCGCAGACCGGUCAGAUGCCAAGCAGAUAUUGUUGCAAAGGUGUUUUUGAAGAUGAGGUUGCAUCUCCACACCAGUAUUGUAAAGCAGACCACUGUACAAAUUAUGCUGUAAGUUCCAUGCCAGGUGGCUCCACAGAAGUCUUGCGGCCUUGGAGCUCAAAGAAGCUGCUGCCGGGACAAAGGCAACAGACUCCCUGUGUGCACCACAGGGCCACUUCACAAGGCUUGUUAUUGAGGGCAUCAGGUGAGGAACUGUGAAACCCAAGUGAUCAGAGCCCCUUCAGGAAAGAGCAGCUUUCUUGGCGCUGAAGAAAGCCUGGCUCACACUCACUAAUUACUGGGCUUAGCCACGCCCAUCCUCCUCCCGCUCUUCUCAUUACCUGAACAAGCAAGAGGUAAUUACAGAAGCCAAGCCUCAGCGCCUUCUAGAGAAUGCUGUCAUUCCUGUGACAGGCAAACACCCAUGGCACUGUGUCCAGAUAAGCACGGCAUACUCGCUGGCCAGUUUUUCUCACCCUUAAUGUCUCUUCCAGAUUCACAAAAUGGUUGGUUUUAGAAUUACAGAUAUG
rnacentral:lncRNA from 1 species